rnacentral:rRNA from 1 species
AUUGAACGCUGGCGGCAUGCCUUACACAUGCAAGUCGAACGGUAACAGGUUAAGCUGACGAGUGGCGAACGGGUGAGUAAUGUAUCGGAACGUGCCCAGUCGUGGGGGAUAACUGCUCGAAAGAGCAGCUAAUACCGCAUACGACCUGAGGGUGAAAGCGGGGGAUCGCAAGACCUCGCGCGAUUGGAGCGGCCGAUAUCAGAUUAGCUAGUUGGCGGGGUAAAAGCCCACCAAGGCAACGAUCUGUAGCUGGUCUGAGAGGACGACCAGCCACACUGGGACUGAGACACGGCCCAGACUCCUACGGGAGGCAGCAGUGGGGAAUUUUGGACAAUGGACGCAAGUCUGAUCCAGCCAUGCCGCGUGCGGGAAGAAGGCCUUCGGGUUGUAAACCGCUUUUGUCAGGGAAGAAAAGGUUCUGGUUAAUACCUGGGACUCAUGACGGUACCUGAAGAAUAAGCACCGGCUAACUACGUGCCAGCCGCCGCGGUAA